CACACUCAACCUGUCGCUCUUUUGACUGUGAUACGGGACAGUGCUUCUUUCCAGUUUGUGAUGUGUUCUGUUCUCUGCUGUUUUCAAAACAAUUAUCUGUGUUCUCACAUUAACAGUACAGUUUUUUUACUCUUUCAUAGCUAUAUAUAUUUUUAUUCUCACCAAACAUUGUGUACAACUUCAGUUUAAUGCUUAAUAUAAUAACUUCAAUCAUGCUUUUUAUGUCCAUGGUUUCUACAAAAUUACAUUUUGUAGAAUUUAUACCUAAAUGGUUAAUCUGUUCUGUAAAAAAUUACAAUAACUGCUACUGAACUGAAUUUCUUAGAAGUUCAUACUGUAUUUUUUAUAUUUGAUUUAAGUAUAAGUAUGUAUGUCUUUAAAAACUUAUAAUAAUAUGAAUGAUAAGAUCAACUCUAAAUUGUAUGUUAAGUGGAAUUUAGGCCAGCUUCACAGAUUGUUACUACUUCUGUUUAUGUAGGGUGAGGCACUGCUGAUAUUAAGUUACUUUUUUUAUCUCUACAUCUUGGUAAGAACAAAACUACUUGUUGAGAUUUCUGAGAAAUUGUAGAGUUGAUACAUGUUUCAUAGUUCUUUAAGGAGUAGUAAAUUGCCAUAGGAUAAAUUUAAACUUAAAUAGACAGCCAUAUAAAGAUUGUCCAAAAGUGUAUUAAGGAGUACAACUUUUUCUAUUGAUAUUUCUUGAUUUUGCUAAGGUUAAUUUAGCCACUGCUGAAUAGCCUUAGUUUGUGUUGGAAUCUGCCUGCUCCUUGUGCACUGGGUUAGCCUGGGGUGUGCCGCAGUUUCAGGUAGAUUGCCCCAGUCCGAUUCAUUUCGUUCUUACCUUAGGGGUUUAUGCAGUUCGCUGCCCUUACCUUUCCAUACCUGAUCAGGUCACUGUUUCUAGAGAAACAGGCAGAAAUUCCUACCUCGGAUAAGAGUGGAGGGAGAGUCCAAGACUGAAUGUAUUCUCUUCUGCACGGACACCUCCUCACCUCUUAGCCUGUGAUGCGAGCCUGACGGAGCUGAGAAACGCAGUGACUGGAGCAGUGGUGUCGCUCUGUUCAGUGAGUUAGGGCCGCUUAGACUUUUUUAAAGCAACUUGUUAUUGUCCUCCUUUUGUAUAUCACAGU